rnacentral:rRNA from 1 species
UACGGAGGGUGCGAGCGUUGUCCGGAAUCACUGGGCGUAAAGGGCGCGUAGGCGGCUUUUUAAGGGUGCGGUGAAAGCCCGGGGCUUAACCCCGGGUCGGCCGUGCCGACUGAAAAGCUGGAGCACUGUAGAGGCAGGUGGAAUUCCGGGUGUAGCGGUGGAAUGCGUAGAGAUCCGGAAGAACACCAGUGGCGAAGGCGGCCUGCUGGGCAGUGGCUGACACUGAGGCGCGACAGCGUGGGGAGCAAACAGG